CCUGAUACAGAUCUGAUGUCUUCUAUGCCUUCUGAUGCAGGAUGUAAUGUUAUGUUGGGUAUCAAAAAGGAGUUCCCUUCUGUGGCUCAAGAAAUGUAAAUGUUCGGACCUGGUAAAAAGACCAUAGAGGAAGCUCCCCCAAUGUCUGGAUAAUGGAUGAAAGGGAUUAACCAAGAUCAAAGAGCCCAAGAAAAUACAAGCAAAUAGUGCACAGUGCUUUAUUAUGUCACGAUCUCACACACCUACUCAAUAAGGCACCAUACAUAAAUAUCAUGCCAUGAUGAAUCACUAGGACUUUAUUAGCCAACACCAAAUUAGCCCCUUCACACUGAAGCAUUUCACAGUGCUACUUUAUUGGCUGUUACUGUCACCAUGUAAACUACCGACUAUGGAAUGAUGUACUAGAUUUGGACAGG